UACGUAGGGUGCAAGCGUUAUCCGGAAUUAUUGGGCGUAAAGAGCUCGUAGGCGGCCUGUUGCGUCCGCUGUGAAAUCCCAGGGCUCAACCCUGGGCGUGCAGUGGAUACGGGCAGGCUAGAGUUCGGUAGGGGAGACUGGAAUUCCUGGUGUAGCGGUGAAAUGCGCAGAUAUCAGGAGGAACACCGGUGGCGAAGGCGGGUCUCUGGGCCGAUACUGACGGCUGAGGAGCGAAAAGCGUGGGGAGCGAACAGG
rnacentral:rRNA from 1 species